UAUCUGGUUGAUCCUGCCAGUAGUCAUAUGCUUGUCUCAAAGAUUAAGCCAUGCAUGUCUAAGUACAAACCUUAAUACGGUGAAACCGCGAAUGGCUCAUUAAAUCAGCUAUGGUUCCUUAGAUCGUCUCAUCCUACUCGGAUAACUGUGGAAAAUCUAGAGCUAAUACGUGCUUACAAGCCCUGACCUCACGGGAGGGGCGCAUUUAUUAGAUCAAAACCAAUCGGGGCUUGCCCCGUCUGCUUGGUGACUCUGGAUAACUUUUGUGCUGAUCGCAUGGCCUCUGCGCUGGCGACGUAUCUUUCAAGUGUCUGCCCUAUCAACUUACGAUGGUAGGUGAUAUGCCUACCAUGGUUAUAACGGGUAACGGGGAAUCAGGGUUCGAUUCCGGAGAGGGAGCCUGAGAAACGGCUACCACAUCUAAGGAAGGCAGCAGGCGCGCAAAUUACCCACUCCCGGCACGGGAGGUAGUGACGAAAAAUAACGAUACGGGACUCUUUUGAGGCCCCGUAAUUGGAAUGAGUACACUUUAAAUCCGUUAACAAGUAUCUAUUGGAGGGCAAGUCUUCAGUGCCAGCAGCGCGGUAAUUCCAGCUCCAU
rnacentral:ncRNA from 1 species